GGAGCCAUAGGGAGGGAUACCAACCCAGCCUUAGGAAAAGAAACCUGCCAUGGGAGUCUUGGAGAUUCGCGACUGUCCUAAUGACUUA
rnacentral:pre_miRNA from 1 species